rnacentral:lncRNA from 1 species
UAAUAUAUUUUUCAUUUUAAAUCUUUCUCAUCAUUGACUUUUUAUUGUUCUUGGAUCUCUAUAUUUCCAGGGCGCUUACUGCUGCCACCAAGACUGCUGUUGAAAUUGUUGCAAUCAGGCCCGGAACUUCAGAAUCCAGGCAAGUUUCUCUUCUCAUGACCUUUAAAUCCCCAUUCAUCAGAAUAAAUGAUACAGUCUGUCAAGAUAGAUACAGAUCACAAAUUAUUAGCUUGUUUUGACAGGAACCUCCAAAAUAAUCCUCAGCUUUUCACUUGCAGACAUAGACUGUUGUCCACUAGGUGGUGCCAGUGUUCCUGUAAACGAUCAUACUGUUGAGGAUACAUUAUUUACUGAUAAUUGUAGACAAUAAUUGCAGCAACACAAGACGAGUUUUAUUCAUGUACUUUUGAUUUAAAACAGCAGACAUCAUUUGUUUAUGUGAAAUAUUUUUACUGUUUAAGUGAGUUGUUUUCUUCUCACAGGGACACGGGUAGCACCAUCAUUGUGGCAUAUUUUGUCUACACCAACGGGACUGCUCUGACCUCUGUUCAAGUGGACACGAUGCUGUCUGAUCCUGAACAUUUUCUUGUGCUGGGACAGCUCGGCCUCAAGAACAUUGGGAAGGCUCCUGUGAAAGAACCCGACACGGACCCUGUGAAGUACAUCUUGCUGGGGAUAGUGGGAGGCCUCGUCAUCGUACUGGGUGUCCUCAUCACUUCCCUAAUGUGCACUCGCAGAACGUAAGAAAGGGAUUUGGAAUAAAGUUAGGGACAGGACAAUUAACUAUUAACCACACAGUUUACCCCAGUAAAGCCACACUUGCCAGUUUCCAAUAAUCUGAAAACAUCUAUGAGAGGUAGUGUGUUUACUAAUCAACUCCCGUCACACUACAGCUACGGGAGGAAACUGAAGGCAGCUAAAGCCAUGAACUCUGCAUCCAUGAUGACUUCUGACAACCAGAAAGGUGGCGCUGUAGUGCCUGGAACCAACAAAUACACCAUGGAGGGGUGAGGAGACAACAGAUAAAUGAAUGAAUCAAUUAUAUGAAAUAAAACAUAUCUCUGACUGUGUAUAUCAUUAUUCGCUCAAAGGGCUAAUCCAGUUCUCAACCUCAACAUCGACACGGCCAUGAUCCUGGGAUUGGACGAGGAGAGCUCAGAUGUGGACAAAGUCAGGUAAAUAAUUAGUCUCUGUGACUCUCUCCAUCAUCUGUUGAUAGCAAUGAUUCA